rnacentral:rRNA from 1 species
AUUGAACGCUGGCGGCAGGCCUAACACAUGCAAGUCGAACGAGUGGCGGACGGGUGAGUAAUGUCUGGGCAUCUGCCCGAUGGAGGGGGAUAACUACUGGAAACGGUUGCUAAUACCGCAUACUAUCGGAUGUGCACAGAUGGGAUUAGCUAGUAGGUGGGGUAAAGGCUCACCUAGGCGACGAUCCCUUGCUGGUCUGAGAGGGUGCCCAGCCACACUGAAACUGAGACACGGGCCAGACUCCUACGGUGGGCAGCAGUGGGGAAUCUUGCGCAAUGGGCGCAAGUCUGAUGGAGCAAUGCCGCGUGAGUGAAGAAGGGUUUCGGAUUGUAAAGUUCUUUCAGCAGGGAGGCGUUACCUGCAUAAAAAGCAACGGCUAACGACGUGCCAGCAGCCGCGGUAAUGC